CUAGACAUAAGAUGUCCCUUGUCAUGUUACCUUAUUUUCUCUCUAGCUUCUUCCUGCAGCGGCUGUUGUAUUUUGAAAGCAUCUUCCUGUGCUUUUUGUUCUGAUCUCAAGCCCGAGGGCAAGUAAUCAGCAUGUCACUCGAAGAUAGCAUGCAGUACUCAAGGAUGUACAACAUAAUACGAUUUGUCCAGUUGAUUCUCACACUGACAAGCAGCAGGGCAUGUAGAUGAAUUCAGCCUUGGAACAGGAGGACAUUUGACAUUUAGCAGCCGCUUUUCCCAAGAGUGUCUGUCUGCGGACUGC
rnacentral:lncRNA from 1 species